rnacentral:rRNA from 1 species
AAUGAACGUUGGCGGCGUGGAUUAGGCAUGCAAGUCGAGCGCUCAUAGCAAUAUGGGAGCGGCGAACGGCGUAGGAACUCAUAGGAACGUACCCUCAGGACGGGGAUAGCUACGGGAAACUGUAGGUAAUACCCGAUGAUCUCCGCGGAGCAAAGGUGUGAUUCCGCCUGAGGAGCGGCUUAUGCGAUAUUAGCUAGUUGGUGGGGUAAUGGCCUACCAAGGCGACGAUGUCUAGGGGGUGUGAGAGCAUGGCCCCCACGACCGGAACUGAGAUACUGUCCGGACACCUACGGGUGGCUGCAGUCGAGAAUCUUCCGCAAUGGACGAAAGUCUGACGGAGCGACGCCGCGUGCGGGAUGAAGGCCCUUGGGUUGUAAACCGCUUUCGGAGGGGAUGAAAUCCUCGAGGGUUCUCCCUCGAGGUUUGACAGAGCCUCAAAAGAAGCACGGGCUAAGUACGUGCCAGCAGCCG